CUUAUACUUCCUUCGUCCGGAAAUACUUGUCAUCAAAAUGAAAAAAAAGGGAUGUAUCUAGAUGUAUUUUAGUUCUAGAUAUGUCUCUUUUUAUCCAUUUUGAUGACAAGUAUUUUCGUACGGAGGGAGUAUUUA
rfam:Triticum aestivum genome assembly, contig: Triticum_aestivum_CS42_TGACv1_scaffold_579017_7BL